UCCGGUUUGUCACCGGCAGUCACCUUAGAGUGCCCAACUAAAUGCUGGCAACUAAGAUCAAGGGUUGCGCUCGUUGCGGGACUUAACCCAACAUGUCACCACACGAGCUGACGACAGCCAUGCAGCACCUGUCACUCUGUUGUAUUGCUACAAAAACCGUAUCUCUACGGCUGUCAGAGGAUGUCAAACCCAGGUAAGGUUUUUCGCGUUGCUUCGAAUUAAACCACAUGAUCCACCGCUUGUGCGGGCCCCCGUCAAUUCCUUUGAGUUUUAGUCUUGCGACCGUACUUCCCAGGCGGGGUACUUAUUGCGUUAGCUCCGGCUCAGCGGGGGUCAAGACCCACCAAGCCUAGUACCCAUCGUUUACGGCGUGGACUAC
rnacentral:misc_RNA from 1 species